AACCCUUUUCUUUGAAUUCAAAGCAAGUUUCUUUAAUGUUUUGACUUAAAAAAAAAAAAAGGUUUGCUUGAGUAAUUUAGAUUGGUGUUUUUUGUGAGUUAUGGUUUGAUAAAAUAAAGUUUUCAUGAUUUGAUAAAAAUCGAGUUUUCAUGGUGCCUGGUAUAUUGCCAUAAACACGAGGUUUUUGAGCUUUCAAUUUUAAUGCAGGGUUAAAGGAUUUGUUUUCAAGAUUUUGGAAUAUUAUG
rnacentral:lncRNA from 1 species